UACGGAGGGAGCUAGCGUUGUUCGGAAAUACUGGGCGUAAAGCGCACGUAGGCGGCGCAGCAAGUCAGGGGUGAAGUCCCGGGGCUCAACCCCGGAACUGCCCUUGAAACUGCAGUGCUAGAAUCUUGGAGAGGCGAGUGGAAUUCCGAGUGUAGAGGUGAAAUUCGUAGAUAUUCGGAAGAACACCAGUGGCGAAGGCGACUCGCUGGACAAGUAUUGACGCUGAGGUGCGAAAGCGUGGGGAGCAAACAGG
rnacentral:rRNA from 1 species